rnacentral:lncRNA from 1 species
CACACAAACUUAUAAUUCUCAUUUCUAUAUUCAUGGCUAAACAGCCAAAUUCUGCCCUACUUCUCUUAACAUUUUUCUUGAUUUUUACACAUGUUCUAGCGCGACCACUCAAUAAUCAAAAUCAUUUGCAAGACGAUGAAACUCCACCACGUCCCAUCCAAAGGAACAUUGAAGCUUUCAAGGCUUUUCAGGUUAGCGUCAAGAACUCUGGUCCGAGUCCCGGAGAAGGCCAUUCACAUCAAAAUGGCUUACACAAUUAAAAGCAUAUACGGCAUGUCUGGGAUCCAUCAAAUUUUUUUAUUUUUUGUUUAUGUAAACCAUUAAAUUUAAGUUACUAUUUGCAUUAUUUCGGACCAGGUUUAGUAUGUAAUAAGA